AUCUGAUGAUGACGACAACUAGCACACAACCACCUGAACCUCUCCCAAUACUCAUAUAGUCAUUCCCCUGAAUAUUACCUUAUACUACAUAUCUCUUUUCUAAUGCU